AGCGGGGUUAUUUUCUAUCUCGUUGAUAACUCUCUUCACCGUGAUCUUACUGUCAAAAAGCAAAUUUUGACACUAUUCGUAUUGUGUAUGUUCGGUUGGGGUCGAAUAAUGACGUCAUAGUUGGUAUGGGCUUCAAUACCCACCGGCCGCCAUCUUGUUAAAAUUUUGUAUGCGAAUAUUUUAUCGAAACCCGAGAUUGGUAUUUUGUAUCGGAUAGUUGGAAUCAUAAGUACUAAUUUGGGUUGGCCAACCGUCUUGUCUUGGGCAACUAGUAAAUAGUAGCUUUUAAACCAUAGAGUCACCAUAGAAUGUAGAAAAUAACGUUUUUUUUUAAUUGUAACGCUGAAGUCUUCUUGUUCUUAUGAUCUUGAACAAAAUAAUAUUUCUUUGAUGUUUGUUUUGUGAAUCUUGCAAAUUUUUGGUCUUCUAUAAUUAGUAAAUAGGGACUCUGGUUAUGCUCUACGGCCAUGGAUGUUAACACCUAUCCUCUAUGCAGCUGUAGGAUCCCCAGAAGAACACUACACUGAUCUACAUUGCCGUGUCAGAAAUACUGUGGAGCGGUGCAUUGGGGCCCUUAAAACACGCUGGAGAUGUUUGCUGGCACACCGUGUGCUUCACUAUGAGCCCACCAAAGCUGCGAAAAUAGUAAAUGACUGCUGUGUACUACACAAUAUAGCAAAUGCACACAAUAUACCAGUGACGACAACUUGCCUGCUGCUGGUAACAUUCGGGUGCAGCAUAUUGGUAACGUGGCUUAUGGUGCUGCUGAUGCAGAUGCAGGGCGCAUGAGGGCCAACC